CCGGUAUGAGUAUGUUGUGCGGUUAGGUAGGUAGAUGACGUAAUGGGUAGGUGGCGUAUAAAGUCUCGCGGGCGUCAAGGAAACAGCGUUUGCUCUCGUUCUACGCUUGGUGAGCGAGUUUGUGUUUCUUCCUCUGCUGGCGCGUUGAAGGAACGGCUUGACCUAUUGUGUCCGAAAACUCGGAGAUUGUUCCGGUUUUAAUGAUCGAGGUGAGAGCAGAGUGCACUUGUCAUUUUGCGCUUUGUUACGACCACUGGACGACAUCAAAACCUUCUUUGGCAAGUGGCCAUCGUUUUUUUCCCCACCAAACUUGGGAUUUGGUUGUUUUGGUUUUUUUGAUUUGUGGCAUUCAUUUUGCAGGAUCUGCCUGUUUUAUUUGAAUGGUAGAGUGCUGUAUUGGGAGGCCUUGUUUGAUUUGUGUGUUUUACGUAUAAUGGUUUGAUUGGGUUUGAUUUUUAUUUUCUUUAUAUUUUUUGAUUGGGUUUGACUUUUGGGUUUGUUUUUUUCUUCCUCCCAUGUGGUAUAUUUCCCAUUUUAGUAUUCUAGGUUGAUUUGGGUGUUAUUUUGAGUGCCAUUCUUAUGUUUUCUUUUGGGUUAAAGUAUGAUUUCUCUGUUUAAUUAAUGUGAAUAUCAGUCUAAUGAUUGGUUUCUCUUAUUGAAUGUUGUUAGAUUUCGAUUUGUUUGGAGUGUUAUUUCUUUUGGAAAUUAAUUUGGUUUACUUUAAAUCCAUUCAGAGUGGUGUUUAAUUGUUGUAAUUAGUUUAUUUUUUUAUUGGUUUCUUUGGUGUCAUGGAUGGUUUUACCAAGUCCUUCUACUCUUAAGAGAAGAUAAAAUUUUGCUCAUUCUGGAAAAUAAAGCAACCCUUUUUGUACUCUGGCUUCUAGUUCAUUUAUUUGAACCACCUGUGUGAUUCAAAGAAAAACAAAAAAGAGAUUAGAUCAUUGUUAGGGUCCCACGUCCUAGAAUUUGUGGGUGGCGUAGU